UUUACAUACAAUUAUUUUGCAACAUAAAUAUAUUUAGUAUUGAUAUUUUCGCAUAGAAAUCUAUUCAAGAGAGUUGUAUGUUGGUAGAGUAAUAAUAGUAGAGAAGUGCAAGGCACGCUUGUAACCGGGUACGGUAUGAAUACCCGCCGCUGAUUGUACUUUGUCUGUAUUAUUUGUGGUUCGACUAUAUAUAUUUAUAAAUCAGUUCAUCUUUAUCCACAGUGUAGCGCAGAAAUAGAGGUUAUUUUUCAUGACGUUUUACGGACAAUUGUAAAUAAAAAAUUUAAAAAAAAAACUGUGCUUUCUUCAUUACAAACCUACAUAGAUUAUGGAAUAUAAUAAUUUGGUGGUGAUAUUCUUCAUUUGUCGACAAUGAAUAAUUUUACCCGGCUUUACGAGAGAGGUAAAACAUUUCAAUAACCUCAAAUUAUGGACAUUUAACGUUUCUUUAUGAUACUGAAGUUAGCAGACGCCUAAUAAUUUUUGGAUUUUUUUAAAAAUGAUAAAUUGUAGAAAAAAAGUAUUCGAAAAAAUUGCACCUAUGGUUUUUUUAAUUUUCUACAUGUGCGUAUUUUGAAUACAAGGAAAUGAGUUAUUAAUUCAAAAGGAAAAAAUUAUAAUACUUUUGGAAUCUAAUGUGAUAUUAUAACUUAUAAAGUUAAAUUAAUUAAUAACAAAUUUUAUGCACUUAUCCAAAAAAUUAAAGGAACAAGAAAAUUUUAUAAAUUUUUUAGUGAUUUUUGGAAGUCUGUAUUUUCGUGAAAAAUAAUCGUAUCGAAAAAACAAAAAAAGCAAAUUGAAGCUUAAAAUCUCUAGUUUGAAGAUCUUUCAGCAAAGGAAUUUUUCGAGCUACGGUUUUUGCGGAAUCAUAAGAAAAAGGUCGAGACAAAAUUUUUCUAAAUUUUUUGGUUUUGUUUUUAAGGUCUACGGGGCCGGAAAAAAUUAUUUCAAGAAAUCGAAUUCAUGGUUCACUUAGGAAAUUUAUUCAGCUACAAUUUGCUUUUUUUUGUUUUUCUGUACGUCAAUUUGCUGCUGAGAUAUCAGCCUUCAAAUGAAAAAGGAUCUUUUUGUCUUUGAUUACUGAUAUCUUAGCAAAUAAUGGCCGCACAGUAAUUUAAAGGGCAGUUUAAGAAACUUGAAUAAAUUCCCUACUAAAAAAAAAAAAAAGCUCCUUUUUCGAUUUUGAAAAAAAAAAUUUUUUUUCAUCCGUGAUAUCCAUUUGAAAAACCCUUAAAAAAAAAUUUUUUCCGAAAAACGAGAUAAAACAAGAACUUUUUUACUUUUUUUUUCGUUUAUUGGAAAAAAAUUUUUUUUUUUCUCUUUACCUUACAUUUUCUGAAUAACUAACACAAAAAUGAAAGAAAAUCCGAAAAAAAUUGAUUUUUUCAUUUUGAUAACGAUUAGACAAUUUAAGGAAUAAAACUUGUUCCUUUAAUAGUUUUGCAAAACUUUGAGCAAUCGGACCAGACAAACGGUUCAAUGGAUCAAUCUGAAAAUUUCCAGGGUUUUUGAGGGUACAUUAAGCUGUAAAGUUACCUGGCAACAUUAUUUUUUUUAUCAAUAUGUGCAGAGUAGCGAUGAGUCGACUAAAAAACCAGAAAAUGGCCAUUUUUUAAGGGUUUUUCAAAUAGAUAUCACGGAUGAAAAAAAAUUUUUUUUUUCAAAAUCGAAAAAGGAGCUUUUUUUUUUUUUAGUAGGGAAUUUAUUCAAGUUUCUUAAACUGCCCUUUAAAUUACUGUGCGGCCAUUAUUUGCUAAGAUAUCAGUAAUUAAAGACAAAAGGAUCCUUUUUCAUUUGAAGGCUGAUAUCUCAGCAGCAAAUUGACGUACAGAAAAACAAAAAAAAGCAAAUUGUAGCUUAAUAAAUUUCCUAAGUGAACCAUGAAUUCGAUUUCUUGAAAUAAUUUUUCCCGGCCCCGUAGACCUUAAAAAUAAAACCAAAAAAAUUUAGAAAAUUUUGUCUCGACCUUUUUCUUAUGAUUCUGCAAAAACCGUGGCUUGAAAAAAUCUUUUACUGAAAGAUCUUUAAACUAGAGAUUCCAAGCUUCAAUUUGCUUUUUUUGUUUUUUCGAUACGAUUAUUUUUCACGAAAAUACAGCUUUCCAAAAAUCACUAAAAAAUUUAUAAAAUUUUUUUGUUCCUUUAAUUUUUUGGAUAAGUGUAUAUACCAAAAAAAUAUAUUUGAAAAAAUAUUAAAUAAAUGUUUUAUUAUUACUA